rnacentral:ncRNA from 10 species
AUCGUUCACCCGAAAGGGCGGAAGUACCCUAUUUUCUGUACAUAAUUCUAUGCUGGAAAUAUGGGGUAGGGGAAGGAACGCACC